AGUAACGCGGGAGAAUCUGCCUCCAGGUCGGGGCCACGAAGUGGAAACUGCUGUUUAUCCCGGAGGACGCCUUAGGGUAAAAGAUUUAUUGCCUGGAGAGGAGCUCGCGUCCGAUUGGCUAGAUGGUGAGGUAAGAGCUCACCAUGGCGACGAUCGGUAGCUGUUCUGAGAGGAAGAUCAGCCACACUGGGACUGAGACACGGCCCAGACUCCUACGGGAGGCAGCAGUGGGGAAUUUUCCGCAAUGGGCGAAAGCCUGACGGAGCAAGACCGCGUGCGGGAAGAAGGCCCUUGGGUCGUAAACCGCUUUUCUUAGGGAAGAAGCUCUGACGGUACCUAAGGAAUCAGCCUCGGCUAACUCCGUGCCAGCAGCCGCGGUAAUACGGAGGAGGCAAGCGUUAUCCGGAAUUAUUGGGCGUAAAGCGUCCGCAGGCGGCUUAUCAAGUCUGCUGUCAAAGACUGGGGCUCAACCCUGGGGAGGCAGUGGAAACUGAGAAGCUAGAGUGCAGUAGGGGUAGAGGGAAUUCCCAGUGUAGCGGUGAAAUGCGUAGAGAUUGGGAAGAACACCGGUGGCGAAAGCGCUCUACUGGGCUGCAACUGACGCUGAGGGACGAAAGCUAGGGGAGCGAAAGGGAUUAGAUACCCCUGUAGU
rnacentral:rRNA from 1 species